AUACAUGCAAGUCGAGCGAACGGACGAGAAGCUUGCUUCUCUGAUGUUAGCGGCGGACGGGUGAGUAACACGUGGAUAACCUACCUAUAAGACUGGGAUAACUUCGGGAAACCGGAGCUAAUACCGGAUAAUAUUUUGAACCGCAUGGUUCAAAAGUGAAAGACGGUCUUGCUGUCACUUAUAGAUGGAUCCGCGCUGCAUUAGCUAGUUGGUAAGGUAACGGCUUACCAAGGCAACGAUGCAUAGCCGACCUGAGAGGGUGAUCGGCCACACUGGAACUGAGACACGGUCCAGACUCCUACGGGAGGCAGCAGUAGGGAAUCUUCCGCAAUGGGCGAAAGCCUGACGGAGCAACGCCGCGUGAGUGAUGAAGGUCUUCGGAUCGUAAAACUCUGUUAUUAGGGAAGAACAUAUGUGUAAGUAACUGUGCACAUCUUGACGGUACCUAAUCAGAAAGCCACGGCUAACUACGUGCCAGCAGCCGCGGUAAUACGUAGGUGGCAAGCGUUAUCCGGAAUUAUUGGGCGUAAAGCGCGCGUAGGCGGUUUUUUAAGUCUGAUGUGAAAGCCCACGGCUCAACCGUGGAGGGUCAUUGGAAACUGGAAAACUUGAGUGCAGAAGAGGAAAGUGGAAUUCCAUGUGUAGCGGUGAAAUGCGCAGAGAUAUGGAGGAACACCAGUGGCGAAGGCGACUUUCUGGUCUGUAACUGACGCUGAUGUGCGAAAGCGUGGGGAUCAAACAGGAUUAGAUACCCUGGUAGUCCACGCCGUAAACGAUGAGUGCUAAGUGUUAGGGGGUUUCCGCCCCUUAGUGCUGCAGCUAACGCAUUAAGCACUCCGCCUGGGGAGUACGACCGCAAGGUUGAAACUCAAAGGAAUUGACGGGGACCCGCACAAGCGGUGGAGCAUGUGGUUUAAUUCGAAGCAACGCGAAGAACCUUACCAAAUCUUGACAUCCUU
rnacentral:rRNA from 1 species